AUGAACGCUGGCGGCGUGCCUAAUACAUGCAAGUCGCGCGAACGGACGAGAAGCUUGCUUCUCUGAUGUUAGCGGCGGACGGGUGAGUAACACGUGGAUAACCUACCUAUAAGACUGGGAUAACUUCGGGAAACCGGAGCUAAUACCGGAUAAUAUUUUGAACCGCAUGGUUCAAAAGUGAAAGACGGUCUUGCUGUCACUUAUAGAUGGAUCCGCGCUGCAUUAGCUAGUUGGUAAGGUAACGGCUUACCAAGGCAACGAUGCAUAGCCGACCUGAGAGGGUGAUCGGCCACACUGGAACUGAGACACGGUCCAGACUCCUACGGGAGGCAGCAGUAGGGAAUCUUCCGCAAUGGGCGAAAGCCUGACGGAGCAACGCCGCGUGAGUGAUGAAGGUCUUCGGAUCGUAAAACUCUGUUAUUAGGGAAGAACAUAUGUGUAAGUAACUGUGCACAUCUUGACGGUACCUAAUCAGAAAGCCACGGCUAACUUCGUG
rnacentral:rRNA from 1 species